GAUGAUGACACACGUGAUGGUAUAUCCUGCAGCAGUGGCAGCUACACCUGUGACUGGGACAGGCUCACUUAUGUGUCACUGACUGUUUUCAACGUGUCUAAAAAUGAGAAUUACACAGUUGGGCUGUCGUCAAACUGUGGGAUGGAUUCUUCUGCUCCUAUCACAGUACAACUGGACGAGACUGUGCUGCUGCAGGAGCUCAGCACCAAUAAGACCCAGCAAAGAGACGAGACCCCCUCACACAGCACACCCGUUGUGCUUGCUGUCCUCGCUGCAGCCACUGCUGCAGCUGCUCUGGGUUUUCUUUAUAAAUACUGCAGGAGUAAAGAGAAGGGAUGUAAUAAAACCCCACAUAAUUCAUGUGCCUAUGUGUAGAAACUUCAAUCUAACAUUAACUUGUUGUAAWAAUGUAUUUGGCCUGAGUGAUUGUGGUUCAGGUGGUUUGUGUAGCUGAAGAACACAACAUCAACUACAUGAGUGUUGUGAAACAAGACAUUCCUGCUGCUGAAUAUUAAUGUAAAUAAAUGUACAGAUUAUUUAUUGACAGUGUGUCCUGGAGCUUUACAUUUUGUCUGAUCUGCAGGAGUUCUCMGUCUGAAAUGAUUUGUUUUUGUUGGUUUGAUAAAAGGAUAAUAUAAUGGAAAAAACAUAUUAUCUGUUAACUGACGUUAAGUUCUGGUUAAAGUUCUCUCUGGCCUCAUUAACAGGAGGGCGAGUCUUCACAGUUGUUUUUAUAAAAACUGUAGUUUUCUUUUUCAUUUUCAGAACAUUAAGCUGGGCAGAGCAGGAGCAUUGAUUUUCUGUCAAAACUUUAGAAAUAAUAAAACACUGAAGUGUAAACCUGAUCUCUUUAAGAGUUAUUUUUCACUACAAUAAGCUCACAAAGCCAGACGUCUUAUGGAAAUGUCACUUCUGUUUUUGUGUUUGUUUUGAUUUUGUAAUAAAUGUGCAUGUCAUGGUCUGUCAUUUCAUGCCUUAGUGUUUCAGUGUUUCCCCUGUGUUCUCUGAUUGAUGCCCCGCCCACACUCACCUGCUUGCCCUUGUGUUCCCCAGGUGUUUCUUGUUUGUAAUCAUGAGUUUCCCUUUAUAUUCAGUGUCUUGUGAUCUUGUCUUUGUUGGAUCACUGUGCUGUCGACCUUGAUCAUGUCCUGUUCCUGGUAAAACCUUGACAAACUGAGUUUUUCAGCUGCACUGUCAGCUUUUAUGAUUUAUAUUAAAGACCUUGCUUUUUGCUUUUUGCCUUUUUCUUUUUGAACCUGGCUGCACGCUGGGUUUUUGUCUCCAGUUCAUGACAGUGCAGAAUUUGUUUAAACUUGUGUUUGUACUUUGUCAUUAAGAUGCACUCAGCCCUGAAAAAAGAUUAAACGAGUGUAUCAUCAGGACAGGCUGUUACAUAAAGAAUAUUUUAAAAAGUGAAUCAUUGUGGAGACUUUCUGAAGUCAGUGACAUUUUGUGUUUCUUGUUUCUUAAAUUUUAGAAGAUGAAUGUUAUAACACAAAAACUAGUAUC